rnacentral:rRNA from 1 species
UGGGGAAUUUUGGACAAUGGGCGCAAGCCUGAUCCAGCAAUGCCGCGUGCAGGAUGAAGGCCUUCGGGUUGUAAACUGCUUUUGUACGGAACGAAAAGCCUCUCUCUAAUACAGGGGGGUGAUGACGGUACCGUAAGAAUAAGCACCGGCUAACUACGUGCCAGCAGCCGCGGUAAUACGUAGGGUGCAAGCGUUAAUCGGAAUUACUGGGCGUAAAGCGUGCGCAGGCGGUUUUGUAAGACAGUGGUGAAAUCCCCGGGCUCAACCUGGGAACUGCCAUUGUGACUGCAAGGCUGGAGUGCGGCAGAGGGGGGAUGGAAUUCCGCGUGUAGCAGUGAAAUGCGUAGAUAUGCGGAGGAACACCGAUGGCGAAGGCAAUCCCCUGGGCCUGCACUGACGCUCAUGCACGAAAGCGUGGGGAGCAAACAGGAUUAGAUACCCUGGUAGUCCACGCCCUAAACGAUGUCAACUGGUUGUUGGGGAUUUAUUUCUUCAGUAACGAAGCUAACGCGU